UAAAAAGAUUAGAUAUUCAACUCAUAAAUUAUUUUUUUUCAUAUUAUAAUACUAUAUUUCAUAUAAUUAUUUUGUACUUUGAACUAUUAGCCAUAUUUUUAUAUCAAAUUAUAGAUAAUGUUUUAUACAAAUUAAACUAUUGAUCGUAUGAUGUUGAGAAUUUCAAGCGGCUCGUUUAGGGCUCGAGCUCGCUCGACUCGAAAUUAGGCUCGCUCGAGCUCGGCUCGAAUUAAUUUCAAUCCAAACUUGAGCUUAAAUUUAUGCUCGAAAUUAAUUUCAAGCAGAAUUUGAGCC
rnacentral:lncRNA from 1 species